rnacentral:rRNA from 1 species
UACGGAGGAUGCAAGCGUUAUCCGGAAUGAUUGGGCGUAAAGCGUCCGCAGGUGGCUGUGUAAGUCUGCUGUCAAAGAGCGAAGCUCAACUUCGUAAAGGCAGUGGAAACUACACGGCUAGAGUGCGUUCGGGGCAGAGGGAAUUCCUGGUGUAGCGGUGAAAUGCGUAGAGAUCAGGAAGAACACCAGUGGCGAAGGCGCUCUGCUAGGCCGUAACUGACACUGAGGGACGAAAGCUAGGGGAGCGAAUGGG